rnacentral:rRNA from 1 species
AACGAACGCUGGCGGCAUGCCUAACACAUGCAAGUCGAACGCGUGUAGCAAUACACGAGUGGCGGACGGGUGAGUAACGCGUGGGAACCUGCCCAAUGGUAGGGAAUAACUGCGGGAAACUGCAGCUAAUACCCUAUGCUCCCUACGGGGGAAAGAUUUUAUCGCCAUUGGAGGGGCCCGCGUCGGAUUAGCUAGUUGGCGGGGUAACGCCCACAAGGCUACGAUCCGUAGCUGGUCNGAGAGGAUGAUCAGCCACACUGGGACUGAGAUACGGCCCAGACUCCUACGGGAGGCAGCAGUGGGGAAUAUUGGACAAUGGGCGCAAGCCUGAUCCAGCGAUGCCGCGUGUGUGAAGAAGGCCUGCGGGUUGUAAAGCA